rnacentral:rRNA from 1 species
GUCGAGGAUAUUUAGCAAUGGGCGAAAGCCUGACUAUGUGACGCCGCGUGAGGGAUGAAGGUUUUCGGAUCGUAAACCUCUUUCGAUGGGGAAGAAAGUCUCGAUACUAAUAUUGUCGAGAUGUGACGGUACCCAGAGAAGAAGCCACGGCCAACUCCGUGCCAGCAGCCGCGGUAAUACGGGGGUGGCGAGCGUUACUCGGAUUCAUUGGGUGUAAAGGGCAGGUAGGCGUUCCAUUAAGUUAGAAGUGAAAUCCUAAGGCUCAACCUUAGAACUGCUUCUAAAACUGUUGGAAUUGAGGCUGGAAGAGGAGAGCGGAAUUCCCGGUGUAAGGGUGAAAUCUGUAGAUAUCGGGAGGAAUACCAGUGGCGAAGGCGGCUCUCUAGUCUAGCCCUGACGCUAAGCUGCGAAAGCUAGGGGAGCAAACAGGAUUAGAAACCCGAGUAGUCC